GAUUCAUGUUGGGCAAUUGCUGUUCGAGCUUUGUAAGCGAGAAUAGAGGAAAGUCCGAACACCGAGAACAGAGUGCCGGGUAACGCCCGGGGACUAAUUAUGCAAAUAUUUAGUUACGGAAAGUACCACAGAAAAGAUACCGUUCCGCUUUGGCAGAAUAAGGGUGAAAUGGCAGGGUAAGAGCCUACCGCUCCAAUAGCAAUAUUGGGGGUCUCGAAUGAGAAUCCCAAAUAUUUGGGAUCAUGGCAAACCCCACUUGGUGCAAGGUUAAGUAGAAAGCUUUACAAAAUUAUUUGUAAGAAGGGUGUUCUCCCUUUGCUUUCGGGUAAACCGCUUGAAUUUUAGAGUAAUCUAAAGUCUAGAUAAAUAAUUGCCGUCCAUUAAUUUGGAAACAAAAUUCGGCUUAUAGACUUGAAUUAUCA
rnacentral:RNase_P_RNA from 1 species